UGAGGAAUAUUGGUCAAUGGGCGGGAGCCUGAACCAGCCAAGCCGCGUGAGGGAGGAAGGCCCUAUGGGUCGUAAACCUCUUUUGUCAGGGAACAAAAGCGAGUAUGUAUACUAGUCUGAGUGUACCUGAAGAAAAACGCAUCGGCUAACUCCGUGCCAGCAGCCGCGGUAAUACGGAGGAUGCGAGCGUUAUCCGGAUUUAUUGGGUUUAAAGGGUGCGUAGGCGGCGAUGCAAGUCAGCGGUAAAACGCCCGGGGUCUCAACCCCAGGCGAGCCGUUGAAAUCUGCAGUGCUAGAGAAGGCGAGAGGUACGCGGAAUGCGCAGUGUAGCGGUGAAAUGCUUAGAUAUUGCGCAGAACUCCGAUUGCGAAGGCAGCGUACUGGCGCCUGACUGACGCUGAGGCACGAAAGCGUGGGGAUCGAACAGGAUUAGAUACC
rnacentral:rRNA from 1 species